rnacentral:rRNA from 1 species
CCUACGGGCGGCUGCAGUGAGGAAUUUUCCGCAAUGGGCGCAAGCCUGACGGAGCGACGCCGCGUGAGGGAUGAAGGUCUUCGGAUUGUAAACCUCUUUUGCAGGGGAAAAAGGCGCAAGCUUGAUGGUACUCUGCGAAUAAGCCACGGCUAACUACGUGCCAGCAGCCGCGGUAAUACGUAGGUGGCGAGCGUUGUCCGGAAUUACUGGGCGUAAAGGGCGUGUAGGCGGUUGAUCAAGUCCGUUGUGAAAUAUCCUGGCUCAACCAGGAAAUUGCAAUGGAAACUGGUUGACUGGAGUUCGGGAGGGGUUACUGGAAUUCCUGGUGUAACAGUGAAAUGUGUAGAUAUCAGGAGGAACACCCGUGGCGAAGGCGGGUAACUGGCCCGAUACUGACGCUGAGACGCGAAAGCGUGGGGAGCAAACAGGAUUAGAUACCCGGGUAGUC